rnacentral:pre_miRNA from 1 species
UUGAAGAUUUUAAUACUUCAACUUGUAUACUUGGAGAAUUUUGAAGACUUCAACUUGCAUACUUGGAGAUUUUUAAAAAACUUCAUCU